UACAGAGGUCUCAAGCGUUGUUCGGAUUCAUUGGGCGUAAAGCGCGUGUAGGCGGCUCGAUAAGUCUGCUGUGAAAGUCCAGGGCUCAACCCCUGGAAUGCCGGUGGAAACUGUUGAGCUUGAGUCCGGAAGAGGCGAGUGGAAUUCCUGGUGUAGCGGUGAAAUGCGCAGAUAUCAGGAGGAACACCAAUGGCGAAGGCAGCUCGCUGGGACGGUACUGACGCUGAGACGCGAAAGCGUGGGGAGCAAACAGG
rnacentral:rRNA from 1 species